CAACCCUUAAGCCCCCGUUGCUUAGUGUUGGGAGCCUACGUCACCCGUAGCUCCCCAAAUCCAGUGGCGGAGUCGAUCCCAUGCUCCGGACGUAGUAGACACUUCUCGUCCGCAGCAGGUGCGACCCCCUGCCGUUAAACACCCCUAAAUCACUAG
rnacentral:misc_RNA from 1 species